GGGGAGGGGACGCCAUUCUGGCCGCCAAGGGGGAAACGCGGUGAAGGGAACGCCCCGACUUUCGAGUCCCUAGGACUGAGUCCCCAGGACUCCAACCCAGCAGAGAGGCGCCGGGGCCUUAGCUCUGAGGGCUGUGGUCUAGAAAGGGAAGCAGCAGGCCUGGGGCUGGGGCGCGCGCCGACCCCGCAGUGAGACCAAGGGAAGAAGGGACAGGACCCCGCGAAGGGCCUACCGCCCCAGAGCGUAAACAGCGGUCCGCUCCGCGGAAUAGCUGAAGACCUCGCUGGCCUGCGGCUCAGUGGCCUCCCCGGCGAUUCGAGAACAGCUCUGGGGGUCCUCGCUAAGUGUAUGCCAUUCCCAAUCCCUUAU
rnacentral:lncRNA from 1 species